GGCUCGGUAGCUAAGUCAGUAGAGCAUUAGUGUAGCAUAUAAGGGUCGUGAGUUAAAAUCUCACUUGAGCUG
rfam:Aedes albopictus isolate Foshan contig16937, whole genome shotgun sequence.